AUGAGUGGGUGUCUUAUAUCAAAUAUCUUCUAUUAUAUCUAAUAGAAAACAUGCAUUAGUUUGAAUUUAUGUUUUUGUACAAAAGAGGUUGCCUGUAGUCAAAUUCUGUUAGACAGUCGUUCAUUAAUUUAUUCAGUGUCUAUAAAUAGCAAGAUGAUGUCCAGAGUAUACAUGACCUCAGUAAGUGCAUGCUAACCUUACAUUUUUCAAGUGUUUUGUCUAGACUCUAGACUAACAGCUAGCAGACGACCAUAACUUGAAACCCUCUUGUUGAUGAUAAAAUUAGUUGAAAUUCAAAAAUCAGUAUGCUGGCAUGGAAGGAAGCAGUCAUCAUACUAUAACCAUUUUUCUUAAAUGCUCUACUGAAUUGUAAACACAGUUAGCAAUAUUUUAAUGCAUUGUUUAAAGACCCAUUUUACGAUUCAUUCAACCCUCUAGUUGUAUUGGGUGCGAAAUAAGUGAUCACAGUUUUCCGGACACCUGAGGUCAGGCUGUAAAUGAGGGACUGUGUCCUGUGUGACAGGAGUGUCUAGUGAGUGAUGCUCUAGUUCACACUGCUCAGCGUAACAGAAGGAAAUGAGGAGCACAAGACUGAUCGCUUAAGAUGUGCUUUACCUUGAGAAGAAGUCAGUCCCUUAAGAGCUUCUCUGGAGGUCAUAGUUCAUGGUCUACAUCAGAGGUGUUGCUUUGGGACAGAAGGACACCUGUUUCUCAACUUGUUGAAAGGUAUGAAAGCUGUGUGGACCUCACAGAUGUCGACAGGGAAGAGGCCUGGUCUAAGGUAUAUCACUUUGAUUGACUGUAUAUUAAGUGGAAAAGCAAUACUGUCAAUUAAUUGCGGCUUACAUACUGUAGAUCUCUGCAUCCCACAGUCAUCUGGCCUGAGAUGAUCAAACCAUGAAGAGAGUAAAGUGGAAAAUAUCUGGAGAAGAUAUGAGUCCCUCAGUGGGACAAGUAACACUUUGUCUAGAAGUUUUUAAAUGGAAAUGCCACCCCAGCCAGACCUGGUGGGCCCUGACACUCGGAGGGUCCUGUCUGAGUCAAAGAAGUAUGCCAGCAGCCCUAGGCUCAACAUCACACCGCAGGCCAAAAGCAGCCCAGUGAGUCACAUUACCUCACAGUGGAGGGAGGCACCGACAGGGUGGGAGAAAGUCUAUUCUGGUGCUACUACUGCCACCAAUGCUAAACAUGACAAGGCUCAUCAGGAAAAAACCUUCAAUGAGAGAAUGAGAAGGAGGACAGUUAGUGGGGUUCCUGGAUAUGUCACCCGAUCCUCCACUGGACUGAAUGGUAAGUUGAUUAACGCAUAUUCAAAACACCUAAUUAUUUGUACAACUAGUGUAAAUGAGUGGGCAUAUUUACCAGUUAUUUCAUUCUUCUUAACUC
ensembl:lncRNA